AUUGAACGCUGGCGGCAGGCCUAACACAUGCAAGUCGAGCGGAUGAAGGGAGCUUGCUCCUGGAUUCAGCGGCGGACGGGUGAGUAAUGCCUAGGAAUCUGCCUGGUAGUGGGGGAUAACGUCCGGAAACGGGCGCUAAUACCGCAUACGUCCUGAGGGAGAAAGUGGGGGAUCUUCGGACCUCACGCUAUCAGAUGAGCCUAGGUCGGAUUAGCUAGUUGGUGGGGUAAAGGCCUACCAAGGCGACGAUCCGUAACUGGUCUGAGAGGAUGAUCAGUCACACUGGAACUGAGACACGGUCCAGACUCCUACGGGAGGCAGCAGUGGGGAAUAUUGGACAAUGGGCGAAAGCCUGAUCCAGCCCUGCCGCGUGUGUGAAGAAGGUCUUCGGAUUGUAAAGCACUUUAAGUUGGGAGGAAGGACAGUAAGUUAAUACCUUGCUGUUUUGACGUUACCAACAGAAUAAGCACCGGCUAACUUCGUG
rnacentral:rRNA from 1 species